rnacentral:tRNA from 1 species
GGGCCUAUAGCCUAGCCUGGAUUGGGCGUCGGACUUCUAAUCCGAAAGUCGCAGGUUCGAAUCCUGCUAGGCCCG